rnacentral:sRNA from 1 species
UGAUCCCAAUUGUCGCUGCCUUAGGA